rnacentral:rRNA from 1 species
GGGUUGUGAGGUUAAGCGACUAAGCGUACACGGUGGAUGCCCUGGCAGUCAGAGGCGAUGAAGGGCGUGCUAAUCUGCGAUAAGCGCCGGUAAGGUGAUAUGAACCGUUAUAACCGGCGAUACCCGAAUGGGGAAACCCAGUGUGAUUCGUCACACUAUCAUUAACUGAAUCCAUAGGUUAAUGAGGCGAACCGGGGGAACUGAAACAUCUAAGUACCCCGAGGAAAAGAAAUCAACCGAGAUUCCCCCAGUAGCGGCGAGCGAACGGGGAGGAGCCCAGAGCCUGAAUCAGCAUGUGUGUUAGUGGAAGCGUCUGGAAAGGCGCGCGAUACAGGGUGACAGCCCCGUACACAAAAGCGCAUAUGCUGUGAGCUCGAUGAGUAGGGCGGGACACGUGGUAUCCUGUCUGAAUAUGGGGGGACCAUCCUCCAAGGCUAAAUACUCCUGACUGACCGAUAGUGAACCAGUACCGUGAGGGAAAGGCGAAAAGAACCCCGGCGAGGGGAGUGAAAAAGAACCUGAAACCGUGUACGUACAAGCAGUGGGAGCCCCACCACUAAGCCAGUGGUGAACUCCACAUACGCAUCCUUUGCUGAGGAGACGGUUAACGGAGCGAAAGCGACGUUCAACCUCAAAAGAAGCAGAGGGGGCUUAGUGGUGGGGUGACUGCGUACCUUUUGUAUAAUGGGUCAGCGACUUAUAUUCUGUAGCAAGGUUAACUGUAUAGGGGAGCCGGAGGGAAACCGAGUCUUAACCGGGCGUUAAGUUGCAGGGUAUAGACCCGAAACCCGGUGAUCUAGCCAUGGGCAGGUUGAAGGUUGGGUAACACUAACUGGAGGACCGAACCGACUAAUGUUGAAAAAUUAGCGGAUGACCUGUGGCUGGGGGUGAAAGGCCAAUCAAACCGGGAGAUAGCUGGUUCUCCCCGAAAGCUAUUUAGGUAGCGCCUCGUGAAUUCAUCUCCGGGGGUAGAGCACUGUUUCGGCUAGGGGGCCAUCCCGGCUUACCAACCCGAUGCAAACUGCGAAUACCGGAGAAUGUUAUCACGGGAGACACACGGCGGGUGCUAAUGUCCGUCGUGAAGAGGGAAACAACCCAGACCGCCAGCUAAGGUCCCAAAGUCAUGGUUAAGUGGGAAACGAUGUGGGAAGGCCCAGACAGCCAGGAUGUUGGCUUAGAAGCAGCCAUCAUUUAAAGAAAGCGUAAUAGCUCACUGGUCGAGUCGGCCUGCGCGGAAGAUGUAACGGGGCUAAACCAUGCACCGAAGCUGCGGCAGCGACACCGUGUGUUGUUGGGUAGGGGAGCGUUCUGUAAGCCUGUGAAGGUGUGCUGUGAGGCAUGCUGGAGGUAUCAGAAGUGCGAAUGCUGACAUAAGUAACGAUAAAGCGGGUGAAAAGCCCGCUCGCC